rnacentral:tRNA from 1 species
GCGCCCGUAGCUCAGUUGGAUAGAGUACAGGCCUCCGAAGCCUGGGGUCGCUGGUUCGAAUCCAGUCGGGCGCACCA